UACGGAGGGUGCAAGCGUUGUCCGGAUUUAUUGGGUUUAAAGGGUGCGUAGGCGGCUUGUUAAGUCAGGGGUGAAAGACUGCAGCUCAACUGUAGCAGUGCCUUUGAUACUGAUGAGCUUGAGUAUAGAUGAGGCCGGCGGAAUUUAUGGUGUAGCGGUGAAAUGCAUAGAUACCAUAAAGAACACCGAUUGCGAAGGCAGCCGGCUAAACUACAACUGACGCUGAGGCACGAAAGCGUGGGGAUCGAACAGGAUUAGAUACCCGCGUAGUCC
rnacentral:rRNA from 1 species